rnacentral:lncRNA from 1 species
AUGCGCCGCGCCGCGCUCCAUCCCCGCCUCCCUCCCGGGGUGCGGCAGCGCGGGGCUCGCACGGCCGCUCCCCCCGGCCGCCACCUUAAUCCGCGCUCGGCCGUGCGGUGCGGCUCCCGCUCGGCCCCGCAUCCGCUGCCCUCAAGGUCACGCCGCGCGGCGCGCUCCGGUUACCUCCUGCGGGGCGCAGCGGGAGGGUCGGGGAGCGCCCCGGCCCCGCGGCCCCCACCCCGCCGAGCCCCUGCACCUGCCGGCGCGCCGCUGUGGACAGAGCGGCGGAGCGGAGCCGUGCCGAACGCAGCCGAUCCGAGGCUCCCCGGCAGCCACCGCCCGCCCGUCGCUCUUACCUCGGGGCCGCCCCCACCGUCGGUCGGGACGAGGCGCCCGCGAAGCUGCCCCUGCCGCCGCCGCCGCCGCCCGCCCGCCGAGCGCGAGGUCCCCGCGCCGCGCCGCCCCCGCCCUGCGGCCGCGGGAGGGAGGGAGCGGGGAGGGGAAGGGGCGGGGGCGCAGGACCGAAUUGGGGAGGGAGGGAGGGGCGGGGAGGGGGCACCGGCGCGGAGGGAGGAGGGGGGGGGCGAGAAGGAGGCGGAGGAAGGCGGAGGGGGGGGGGGGGCUCGUGCCGCCCCACCGGCCGCAGCCGGACUCACCCUCCGGCGGCGCUCCGGGGCCGCCGCCCGCUUCGUGCCGCACGCACCGGGCAGCGCCGAGCGCGCCGCGGAGCCAGAGCCCCGCACAGCGACCGCUACAGGAGCCCGGCGGGGCGGAGCGGAGCCGAGCGGGGCGGAGCCGGACCGAGCGCGCCUCCCGCCCACUCGCCCGCCCGCUCGCGGCCGCUCACCCUCCGUUGCCGGCGCCCGCCGCCCGUCACCGUCCGCCCGUCACGUGGCGGUGCCCCUCGCGCGGCCGCCCGAGGGGGGUCCCGACGUGCGGCGGCCCUCGGGGGGCAGGAGGGGACGCGCGGCGAUAGGCACGGAGCCGGCAGGGGCGGAGUCCCUCGCCUCGGCCCGGCCCCGCGCCGCCCUGACUGGCGGGCGGGAGGUGACGCGCUUGUUUCCAUGA